CCUACGGGUGGCAGCAGUGAGGAAUAUUGGUCAAUGGGCGGAAGCCUGAACCAGCCAAGUAGCGUGCAGGAUGACGGCCCUACGGGUUGUAAACUGCUUUUAUACGGGAAUAACGCGCCUUACGUGUAGGGCUUUGCAUGUACCGUAUGAAUAAGGACCGGCUAAUUCCGGGCCAGCAGCCGCGGUAAUAAGGAGGAUGCGAGCGGUAUCCGGAUUUAUUGGGUUAAAAGGGUGCGUCGGCGGGCAGUUCAGCCGGAGGUCAAAUGUCGGGGCUCAACCCCGGCCUGCCGUCGGAACUGGGUGCGUUGAGUGGGCGAGAAGUGUGCGGAAGGCGUAGUGGAGCGGUGAAAUGCA
rnacentral:rRNA from 1 species